rnacentral:rRNA from 1 species
GAUAAACGUUUGCGGCGUGCCUGAUGCAUGCAAGUCGAACGCCCUGAUUUUUCGCAAGAUUGAUCAGGGAGUGGCGAACGGGUGAGUAAAGUAUCGGAACGUACCUUUCAGUGGGGGAUAACGCAGCGAAAGUUGCGCUAAUACCGCAUAUUCUGUGAGCAGGAAAGCAGGGGAUCGCAAGACCUUGCGCUGAUUGAGCGGCCGAUAUCAGAUUAGCUAGUUGGUGAGGUAAAGGCUCACCAAGGCGACGAUCUGUAGCGGGUCUGAGAGGAUGAUCCGCCACACUGGAACUGAGACACGGUCCAGACUCCUACGGGAGGCUG